UCUUGCCUAGAUAGAUGUUUUGGUCCCCUAAGAGUCUAUUACCCAGUAACUGGUAAUAUUCUUCUUAUUUUGCAGUUUACUACUUCUUGCCCAAUACCCGAAAAAAGUACCCUUUUUUUCUCCUCAGUGGAGUCCCCUGGAUGUAUAUCCUUGGUAUGUUCAUCCUAACCGGUGACGGAUAUCUUUCUUUCCCCCCGCAGGAGUCUAUCCUUGAUAUGUCCACUUUCACUAGUGACAAAUAUUCUCUUCUUUGGUAUUCUACCUAGUAAAAAGGUAGUUGUAAUCCCUAUUUUAUUCCUCAGAGAGUUAAUCCUUGAUAUGUUCAUCUUAACCGAUGACAGGUUUUCU
rnacentral:lncRNA from 1 species